CCUACGGGUGGCUGCAGUGAGGAAUAUUGGUCAAUGGGCGGGAGCCUGAACCAGCCAAGUCGCGUGAGGGAUAACGGUCCUACGGAUUGUAAACCUCUUUUGCCGGGGAGCAAGCGUGCGUUCGUGAACGCGCGUCGAGAGUACCCGGAGAAAAAGCAUCGGCUAACUCCGUGCCAGCAGCCGCGGUAAUACGGAGGAUGCGAGCGUUAUCCGGAUUUAUUGGGUUUAAAGGGUGCGUAGGCGGGCAUUUAAGCCGGCGGUCAAAUGUCGGGGCUCAAACCCGGCCUGCCGUCGGAACUGGGUGCCUUGAGUGGGCGAGAAGUAUGCGGAAUGCGUGGUGGAGCGGUGAAAUGCAUAGAUAUCACGCAGAACCCCGAUUGCGAAGGCAGCAUACCGGCGCCCUACUGACGCUGAGGCACGAAAGUGCGGGUAUCGAACAGGAUUAGAUACCCCGGUAGUC
rnacentral:rRNA from 1 species